CACCGACAACUAAUCACACCCACAAUCACCAAGGCAGCAAGGCACUGGAAUAUUUCUUGACGCGAAGAAAUGGUGCAGCACCAAUCUGACGCACGCACAGCGGCGCGGGAACGAAGAACAACGUCGCGAGAUUUCUUGUUUCUCGGCGGAUGUGGACAGAGCUCGACAGGCUCCUGGCAGUUUGUGAUGGAAAAAGAAGGUCUAAAAGUGUCAUGGUCAUGGCCCAAUUAGGUGAUAUAUUAUCAUGUUGUUAUGUCUUCAAAACGCGAGGUUGUGUUGCAUCAUAAGGAUACGACACCAUAGGCUGCAUAUAUGAGUAUGUGAUGGUGGUUCAUUAAAAUAAUUGUUUUUAAUUGAUCA